rnacentral:rRNA from 1 species
UGUUCCCUACGGGGGGCAGCAGUGGGGGAUAUUGCACAAUGGGGGAAACCCUGAUGCAGCGACGCCGCGUGGGUGAAGAAGCGCCUCGGCGCGUAAAGCCCUGUCAGCAGGGAAGAAAAUGACGGUACCUGAAGAAGAAGCCCCGGCUAACUACGUGCCAGCAGCCGCGGUAAUACGUAGGGGGCAAGCGUUAUCCGGAUUUACUGGGUGUAAAGGGAGCGUAGGCGGUGCAGCAAGUCAGAAGUGAAAGCCCGGGGCUCAACUCCGGGACUGCUUUUGAAACUGUUGAACUAGAUUGCAGGGCG